UAGAUGAUGUGUGAAUAUAAAACGCUAGUUGUCUCAGCAUUUCAGAUCAAACGGACUAUGUCCUUCUUGGGAGCAGCUGCAGGAAUUCAAGCAGUGAAACAGGCAGGGCAUCUUGCACUUAUUUUUUUUAUAAGCACCAGGCUCCUCCAUCACCACAAUCCUCACCCAUUUUCCUUCCAUUCAAGGGAGAGGAGGAGGAGGACAACCAACAUGGAGCAGCCAUGGGAACUGCUCAGCAUUUCACAGAAUCACAGAAUCACAGAAUUGUAGGGGUUGGAAGGGACCUCCAGAGAUCAUCGAGUCCAAUCCCCCUGCCAAAGCAGGUUCCCUACAGCAGGUCGCACAGGUCGGCAUCCAGGCAGGUCUUGAACAUCUCCAGAGAAGGAGACUCCACCACCUCCCUGGGCAGCCUGUUCCAGUGUUCCAGUUUGCCCCCCAGUGUUUCAGUGGCUAAUAACGGGCAAUGAUACCUCCCAGAAAAAAACACUGUGUAAGGAUUUGGUCAGGAAAUUUCCAAUUUGCAAAUUUUUGGAUGAAUUUUAUGUAUUCAUGCACGCAUCCCAAAAAUUCUGUCGACACAGCAAUUUCAAGACAAGGAGGAAAGGGAGAGAAAAUAUUUGGGUUUCGAUCCCUAUAAAUCCCCAACUUGCUCCUUUUAAAAUACACACAUUCCCUUAAAAAGAAGAAAACUAUUCUACAGUCCCAUUUUUUGAGAAAUAAGAGCUACUGGCAAGACAUAACUGAAGCUUAAUAGUUUUCAAAUCUGGUACAAUCUGAACAACUUCACUACCAAGCAACUAUAGUUAAGAUAUUAAUAACUUCUUUACAGAAUAAUUUAGAGUUCAGACAAUUCCAGGGAGUGGCCUGAAACUGGAAAGGUAGGGUGCUCAGGGUACUCAGCCCUUAGCACUAAAUGUGAAGGUCCUUAACUCACAGAGUGAACAAAUCAUACAUUUCUGUUUCAGUCAACAUGAAAGCAGAUUCAGUAUGAAUCACAUAACACUGCACAUUCACUGAAGUGAAUUCCCACAUUAUGUCAUCAGUGUGUUUGUUUAUUAGUUUACAGAAUUUGAACAUAAUCCACAACACCAAUAUUAAGAUAGAAAAAGAAAGUAAAAAAUAAAAGUCAGAUAUCCGAUUCAAACAACUGCUAUGAACUUCCUCCAUUCUGUGAAAUAUACACCUAAAGGGCAAGGCUGCUCUUUUCUUCUAACAAGCCAAGGCACAAUCAGACUAUAUGAGAACCAGAAGAAAACUUGCAUCUCAGUUCUUGUGCCCACACUUACAAAUAGUUCCUGUCUUCACAACAGAAAAAAAGGCAUGUCCUGGAUCUGGAGACCACAAAACCUGAGGAAGUCCAGAUCCAUCCUGAAACUUCACAGCUGAUACUUUUCUUUUAAUUUAUCACACAGUGAAUUCACUGGGUUUUGAAAGAUUUACUGCAAAUUAGAUUACAGAUUAGCUGUACUGAAGCUGAAAUCAAUAUAUUACCACUUCCUGAAACAACUUCAGCUUUUUGUUAGUUUGCAGACAACAUCACUGUAAGCACUGGCACCCACUUGGCCAUCAGCAGAAUGUACACUUUGAUAAAUAUUCUAAAUUAAGCACAUAUGAGAGCCUGAGAACCACAAUGACAUGCACCUUGGAAUGAGACUCGGAAUAUUUCGUCUGGCAGAGUUCAAAAGGCUUUUCAUCUGGGAGCAGCUGCAGCUUGGUUAGCACAAGAAUGGAUUGAUUGUAAUUUAUAACACAGAAUAUGGAUUAAUGCAAUAUUCAUGGAAAACCAUGUGUGCAGAGCUCCAUCUGUCCAGUGGAGUUCUGAAAGCAUUUUACUUUGGGAAAGAAUGACGAAACCAGAAAGCAUUUGCCUUCACUGCAUCCAAGCUGAGAACAAAGGUAUUUUCCUUGCUUUGGUGGUAUACAAACAGGUAGUAAAGUCUCAGAUGACUCCCUUCAAGCCUUACCCAAAGAGGGCUGGAACAGCUCUGGUGGUCUUCAAGGGUCUGUGAUUCAGCUGCCUUCUUGUUUUUGCCUGCAAAAUUACAGAGACUACAAGAUGCAUUGGGUCUAUAUGGAAUAUCCUCACAGAACUUCUGCUCUUGAGAUCAGAGCUGGUGGCCAUAUAGACAAGGACCCAUGCACAGCCAAGAGGGGCUAUAAAUAGGAGGAAGGCCAGUACAUCAAAGCCAGCAGUCUUGUACAGUAUUAAUAAACACUUAGGUGACUGAAUAAGCCACUGCAGUGGAAAUGCUAAGCCAUGGCCUGAAACAGUGCUUGAGCACCUGGUGGGAAGGCAGGGCCAACUUGGGAGCUCAGGUGCACUGCGUGCAUCUGAGUGACUGGAAGGGGUGGAGCCAGGAUUCACCCCUGCCCAGGCCUCAUUUAAGGGUUGGCAUGGGAGAUGAGGGUAUCUGUUGUUGGAGAUCCCUGCCUACUUGAGGCUUUCCAAAGCAUUACAACCACCAAGAACAAUCAUACACGCUCAGGCAGAGGCGAUGAAGAUAAUGGACAGACCACAGGACUCAUUCUUCUAUCAAAGGCUGAAUAGACUAUUGCAGUCUCUGCUAUACUGUGCACGAUGAAGAGGCCAGCCAAACUUCCACACUUAGGCUGAACAGUCCCAGCUCUCACUGCCUCUUCUCGUGGAAGAGGUGCUCCAGUUUCUUUGUCAUCUUUGUUCCCACUUUCACUGAACUCUUUUUCCAAUACAUCCAUGCCUCCCAGAAAUAGACGCAGCAGACAAGCUGUGGCCUCACCAGCACUGAGUACAAGAGAAGGAUCUUCCUUUUUGACCUGCUGGCAACGCUCCUUCUAAUGCAGCCUAGGACACUGUUAGCCUUCUUUGCUCCAAGGGCUCAUUGCUGGCUCCUGCUCAACUUGGUGUUCAUCAGGAUCUCAGGUCCUUUCCUGGCAAGCUGCUUUCCAGCUGGUUGGCCUGCAGCCUGUACUGUUACACAGAGGGUUGUUCCUCUGCAGGAACUUUGCUCUUGUUGAGCUUCAUGAGGUUCCUGGAUAAUAGAUGCUGUACACAUAUGCUGCUGUUGGAAUGAGUAACACUCAUUCCCUUUGCAAAUUGGAAUCGUUAUGGUGGAUUUUAUGCACAGAAAUCAUUCUUUUUCCAAUAAGAUGAAAUUCUGCAGCUGCUUUAAUACAUGAGGCAUCAAUUUAAGAUUUGAAGUAAAUAAUAAGCUCCUGAAGAGGAAUACACUUCUACCAAGCGAGCUUGCAAAAAAAGGGAGAGUGCAGUUACCCGAGUUUGAAUUGAGCCAGGAUACUGGAGCAUGUCAAAGGUUACGAUCCUCAUCCAGGAGAGAUCACAGAUAAUUAGAGCAAUUAAAAAUGCCUUGGGAAGACAAACCUUGACCAGUUAAGGCCACCUCUCACUGCUUGGCAUGGAGAUACCAUAGCAUCCACAGUUUUCUUGGUGCUUGUGUGUGGCCAAACUGGGAAUCCCAGCCUUUCCAAGAGACAUCAUGUCCAGAAGAUCUGACCAAAGAGGCAUGGCAAGAGGAGAAAACAAUUACAGUGGCAUGGAGACACCUAACACAACUUCCUAGAUACAUAUUUAUGCGAAGACUUAAGCAAACCACAACCUAUUUGAAAACAUGCCCAUAGAUUCCUUUCUGUCAGGAGAGUUGUAUUCAGCACACUUUCAAAGCCUGAUUAUAGGCAUUUAUACCACACAACCUGCAAUCCCUUUUAA